CAGCUGCAAUACCACCACAGAUGAUGAUUUACUGUGUCACUCCGGAUGAGGGAGUUGGGAGAGCAGGCGUGCAGAAGGCCUGAUACAACAGGAUGUAUCCUGCUGGCCUGGAGUUCCUUCAAGCAGAAAGACCGAGAACACCCCGGAUCAGAGUGAAACACAGAGCCUAACGCGAAAACGAAACAGUACUCUGAGAUGUAUACUCCCCUCCACCCUGAGCUCCUUGGUGAAUUCUUGAAGGAUCGCAAGGCAUGGACAACUUCCCUGAACUGGGGGAGCCACACAGCUGGAUCACACAGGCCCUGCUGAAGAACUCACAGUCCAGUCAAGGAAGUGACAUGCACAUAAACGGCCAGAACACUGUGCUUCCGAGUGUUUACAAAAGCAGCUGUGAGAAGGGCAGUGACUGGAACACAUGCUUCUGACCUGCAUGUUUGUGGGUCUGGUUCACAGGACGGUGGUGGUGUGGGCGAGGAUGAGGCAAAAGCAGCCUUCAGGCCCUGGUCUCGUCCUCCAUCAGUGAAAC